rnacentral:rRNA from 1 species
CGGCGGACGGGUGAGUAACACGUGGAUAACCUACCUAUAAGACUGGGAUAACUUCGGGAAACCGGAGCUAAUACCGGAUAAUAUAUUGAACCGCAUGGUUCAAUGGUGAAAGACGGUUUUGCUGUCACUUAUAGAUGGAUCCGCGCCGCAUUAGCUAGUUGGUAAGGUAACGGCUUACCAAGGCAACGAUGCGUAGCCGACCUGAGAGGGUGAUCGGCCACACUGGAACUGAGACACGGUCCAGACUACUACGGGAGGCAGCAGUC